GGUUCGGUGGUGUAGUGGUUAUC
rnacentral:miRNA from 1 species